rnacentral:sRNA from 1 species
GAAAGAAUGUAAAAUUUAUAUUCAAACAAAAAAACGUUAUUACAAAAGAUGCAUCUGUUUCUCAGAAAUUUUAGAGUGAAAAUAGAUAGAGGUGCAGAAAAGGUCUGAAAAAAAA